UCAUCCUUCGCUCACAAUCACCUGGUUUUCUCAAGCAGACAUCUUGCGACUGCUUGUAUUCACACUCAGAGGCCCAGUCCGCCUGGAGGGGUGGCACACUUGCCUCACAGGCGCCAUAGCAACUUUCCCCAAAGAAGGGCCACCCUGUUGCCACGGGUAGCCAGGUGUACAGUACAGCUGACACUUGAGGCCAUGUCAUCUGAGACUGUUUCAAAUCCCAUAACCACAACAGAGGAGCCGAGCCUCCCAGCAGAACAUCUCUGCAAUAUGCAAUUCUGUGAGACAGAAAAGGAGUCAAGUCAAUCCUGCCACGGAAAGACAAGAGCAC